rnacentral:rRNA from 1 species
UACGGAGGGUGCGAGCGUUGUCCGGAAUCACUGGGCGUAAAGGGCGCGUAGGCGGCGCGGGCAGUCAACGGUGAAAGCUUGGGGCUCAACCCCGAGUCGGCCGUCGAUACUCCCGUGCUCGAGCACUGUAGAGGCAGGUGGAAUUCCGGGUGUAGCGGUGGAAUGCGUAGAGAUCCGGAAGAACACCGGUGGCGAAGGCGGCCUGCUGGGCAGUAGCUGACGCUGAGGCGCGACAGCGUGGGGAGCAAACAGG